GAUCUUAAUUGCAAAUUUUCCAACCCAAUCUUCCACAGUACUACUCGGCCCCGACCACGGACACUGCUUUUUUAUUAUUUCCCCCUAAGUUAAAACCAGAACUUCGUGCGAAAAAACUCAGUGUGCACGCCGUGUUUAUACAUAUUAGUUGCUUUAUGAGAAAAGUGGCUGAAAAUGGACGAAAAGUUAAGGCUAUAGGCUUACUUUUUUGCUAUUUUUUGCUGCUUUAUGAAAAAUGAGAAAAGUGGCUGAAAAUGGACGAAAAGUUAAGGCUAUAGACUUACUUUUUUGCUAUUUUUUGCUGUUUUAUGAAAAAUGAGAAAAGUGGCUGAAAAUGGACGAAAAGUUAAGGCUAUAGGCUUACUUUUUUGCUAUUUUUUGCUGUUUUAUGAAAAAUAAGAAAAGUGGCUGAAAAUGGACGAAAAGUUAAGCCCACAGGCUUACUUUUUUGCUAUUUUUUGCUGUUUUAUGAAAAAUAGAAAAGUGGCUGAAAAUGGACGAAAAGUUAAGGCUAUAGGCUUACUUUUUUGCUAUUUUUUGCUGCUUUAUGAAAAAUAAGAAAAGUGGCUGAAAAUGGACGAAAAGUUAAGCCCACAGGCUUUGUUUUUUGCUAAUUUUUGCUGUUUUAUGAAAAAUAAGAAAAGUGGCUGAAAAUGGACGAAAAGUUAAGCCCACAGGCUUACUUUUUUGCUAUUUUUUGCUGUUUUAUGAAAAAUGAGAAAAGUGGCUGAAAAUGGACGAAAAGUUAAGGCUAGCUUACUUUUUUGCUAAUUUUUGCUGUUUUAUGAAAAAUAAGAAAAGUGGCUGAAAAUGGACGAAAAGUUAAGGCUAUAGCCUUACUUUUUUGCUAUUUUUUGCUGUUUUAUGAAAAAUGAGAAAAGUGGCUGAAAAUGGAC
rnacentral:lncRNA from 1 species